GGAGCCGAAGCGAAAGCGAGUCUUAAGAGGGCGUCAAGUAUGAUUACAUAGACCCGAAGCCAGGUGAUCUUGCCAUGAUCAGGUUGAAGUUGGGGUACAACCCAAUGGAGGACCGAACCGACGUUCGUUGAAACGCCCGCGGAUGAAUUGUGGCAAGCGGAGAAAUUCCAAUCGAACUUGGCUAUAGCUGGUUCUCCCCGAAAUAGCUUUAGGGCUAGCGUCGAGUAUAGCUUGUGGAGGUAGAGCACUGAAUGUGUGAUGGCCGCGUCUAGCGGUACUGAAUGCAAUCAAACUCCAAAUGCCAUAAGCGUUGAGCUCGGCAGUCAGACUGUGGGAGAUAAGUUCCAUGGUCAAAAGGGAAACAGCCCAGAUCGUCGAAUAAGGUCCCUAAAUUCAUGCUAAGUGUUAAAGGAUGUAGAGAUGCUCAAACAACUAGGAUGUUGGCUCAGAAGCAGCCACCAUUUAAAGAGUGCGUAACAGCUCACUAGUCGAGUGCCUCCGCGCCGAAGAUUUACCGGGGCUAAGCAUGAUACCGAAUUCACGGAUUAAUAGUUUCUAUUAGUGGUAGGGGAGCGUUCCAUGAGGGUUGAAGCCAUAUCGAAAGAAGUGGUGGACUUCAUGGAAGUGAGUAUGCCGGUGUAAGUAACGAAUGAGGGUGAGAAUCCCUCACACCGUUUGACUAAGGUUUCCUGGGCAAGGGUCGUCCUCCCAGGGUUAGUCGGGACCUAAGGCGAGGCCGAAAGGCGUAGUCGAUGGACAGCAGGUUGAUAUUCCUGUACCCGUACAUAUGCGAAGUAAUGACAGAGAAGGCUAAACCAAGCCGGUUAAUGGAUUCCGGUCGAAGCGAGGUAGCUGCAUCAUAGGCAAAUCCGUGGUGCAUAAGGCGAAGGCGUGAGGGAGUGAAUGGAGCGAUCCUAGUAGCGAAGUGGUUGAUGCCAGCUUUCAAGAAAAGUUGCUAGCUUAAGUAUGUGCGGCCCGUACCGAGAACGAACACACGUGGUCAAGGAGAAUAUCCUAAGGUGAGCGAGAUAACUGUUGUUAAGGAACUCUGCAAAAUCACUUCGUAAGUUAGCAAGAAGAAGUGCUCCAGCGAUGGAGCCGCAGUGAAUAGGCCCAGGUAACUGUUUAACAAAAACACAGCUCUAUGCUAAGUCGUAAGACGAUGUAUAUGGGGUGACGCCUGCCCAGUGCUGGAAGGUUAAAAGGAGAGGUUAGCGCAAGCGAAGCUUUGAUCUGAAGCCCCAGUGAACGGCGGCCGUAACUAUAACGGUCCUAAGGUAGCGAAAUUCCUUGUCAGGUAAGUUCUGACGCGCACGAAUGGCGUAAUAAUCUGGGCGCUGUCUCGACAGCAGACUCGGUGAAAUCUUAAUACCUGUGAAGAUGCCGGUUACCCGCGACUAGACGGAAAGACCCCAUGGAGCUUUACUAUAACUUAAUAUUGAGUGAUUGUAGUUCAUGUACAGGAUAGGUAGGAGGCUAUGAAGCCAGGGCGUCAGCUUUGGUGGAGCCAACGUUGGGAUACUACUCUUGGACUAUGAUCAUUCUAACUCACGCCCUACACGGGGUGGAGGACAGUGUUAGGCGGGUAGUUUGACUGGGGCGGUCGCCUCCUAAAAGGUAACGGAGGCGCCCCAAGGUACCCUCAGCAUGGUUGGAAAUCAUGCAUCGAGUGCAAAGGCAUAAGGGUGCUUGACUGCGAGACA
rnacentral:rRNA from 1 species